rnacentral:lncRNA from 1 species
GGGUAUGCAAUGAGGUAAACCAAAUAACCAAGAGAGCAAAUAAGUCUAUCAAUUUAAUUCACGCAAUAUAAUAGUAAGUAUUUUAAGCAGUACAGGUAAAAUAAACAGUAAACCAUAGUAAAUAUGAACUGACCAGUUCUUGCUCCAUUAGUAACCUGUAAUUAUUUUUAUAAUUUUUUAAUUUUUACAAAACACAGUAUUAUCGAUUAUUAAGCUUUAAUUUACAUAAUAGAGAAUAGAGUGAGAGAUUUUUACCACAGAUCGGAGUUCAAAAUACCAUACUAUCUACUGCGCCUCUUAGGGAUUCUUGGAUUUCCUGGAUUUUUUAUAUGGAAAUUAAAACCUCCGUCAAGUAUUAAAAAAUAUCCUGAAAGGCCAGAAGAGGUGUUUUAAAACUUUUUUGGCAAAUUUUAGGGUUCCUGCAUGGCAGCAGCGCCGUGCUCCAGCAUCGGCUCUACUGCUCACGGUGGCAGUUCGUCUCAGCAUGACCAGUUUUAUGCGUAAACCUGCAGAAAAAUGGGUUAGAAAGCCUUGGUUGGUCAAAAAAAGUAAAAAAAACUGAACUUACCAGCAUGGGGUCCUCGAAUGCGGUGACUCUGCUAGUUUUCCUUCACAACUAGGGUUCUUCUUCGGAUAACUUGCACCAGAAAAGGACGGUGGAUAUGGUAGUGAUAAAAUCAAGUGAAACAGAAAACAGGAAGGGGGUCAUCGGAUAGGGUUUUGAGUUUUGGCUACGGUGGCUCGGCCGAGCUUGACUCGCUAUUUUCGGCCCACCCAUCUUCCCUUUGACUAUGAUUUAGGCAUAGGGAGACUCAGGAUCGAAUUUUGAGUGGAAAGGAAAAAAAUUUAUCUUUUUCUGCGAUGGCAGUGGCGAUGGCGGUCGAUUUCUUUUCCGACCACCCUUAUUUUUCUUCUUCGACGAUGACUGGUGCGGCUAGGGUUAGGGUUCCUUAGAAUGCGAUAUUUAAAUACCCUCCUCGAGUUGAUAUGGGCCAUCCGUGCGGAGACACGUGACCCUUUCCCGUCUAUGGGAUCCUUCUUAUUCAGGGAAUGAAUUUAGACCGCACGAUCAUAUGAAAUAUGACCGUUCGAUUGUGCCUAAAGGAAAAAUGUAUCUUAGCCGUCCGUGCGCACAGAAUGCGAUCUGGACCUUUGGAUUGCCCAGGCAUGCGGAUUGCCCGUGUGGCCUCCCACGUGGAGCUAAUGUCACAUCUCCACCACGCGACAUGUUCUGGUUCGCUGUGGCUACUAUUGUGGUCGUUUCGUAUGACCAUUUUGUUUUUUACGAUUUUACCCCUUGUUUUCAAAUUUUCUU